rnacentral:rRNA from 1 species
CAAAAACAUUGUCUUAUGAAUAUAAUAUUAGAUAAUUCCUGCCCAGUGACACCUGUUCAACGGCCGCGGUAUCCUAACCGUGCAAAGGUAGCAUAAUCAUUUGCCUAUUAAUUGUAGGCUAGAAUGAAUGGAUUAACGAAAUAAAGGCUGUCUCAAUUAACCACCUAAAAAUUAUUUUUUAUCCGAAGAAAGAUACAUAAACUCGAAGGACAAGAAGACCCUAUAGAGCUUAAUUUUAAUUAUAGAAUUACACUAUAAAAAUAUUCGGUUGGGGCGACCCAGGGCUAAUUAAUCACCCAUUAAAUAAAAGAUAAAUUAAUCUACUAAAUGACCCAUUAAUGAUCAUGAGAACAAGCUACCUUAGGGAUAACAGGCUAAUCCCACUUAAGAGUCCUUAUCAACAGUGGGGUUUGGCACCUCGAUGUUGGCUUAGGGUAUCCCUAUAGCGCAAAAGUUAUAUAAAGAUGGUUUGUUCAACCAAUAAUUCCCUACGUGAUUUUU